rnacentral:rRNA from 1 species
AGUGACAGCUGACGAAAGAUGGUUUUCUUCGGACACUCUUCAAGGUGCUGCAUGGUUGUCGUCAGCUCGUGCCGUGAGGUGUCGGGUUAAGUCCCAUAACGAGCGCAACCCUUACCGUUAGUUACCAUCAGGUUAAGCUGGGGACUCUAGCGGGACUGCCACCGUAAGGUGAGAGGAAGGUGGGGAUGACGUCAAAUCAGCACGGCCCUUAUGUCCAGGGCUACACACGUGUUACAAUGGCCGGUACAAAGGGCAGCUACUUCGCGAGAAGAUGCUAAUCUCGAAAGCCGGUCUCAGUUCGGAUCGAAGUCUGCAACCCGACUUCGUGAAGCUGGAUUCGCUAGUAAUCGCGCAUCAGCCAUGGCGCGGUGAAUACGUUCCCGGGCCUU